AAUGAACGCUGGCGGCAGGCCUAACACAUGCAAGUCGAGCGGAGCGGCGGACGGGUGAGUAAUGCAUAGGAAUAUGCCUGGCAGAGGGGGAUAACGUCAGGAAACGGGCGCUAAUACCGCAUACUAUCAGAUGACCCUAGGUCGGAUUGGCUAGUUGGUGGGGUAAAGGCCUACCAAGGCGACGAGCCGUAACUGGUCUGAGAUGCUGAGCAGUCACACUGGAACUGAGACACGGUCCAGCUUCCUACGGGAGGCAGCAGUGGGGAAUAUUGCACAAUGGGCGAAAUCCUGAUCCAGCCAUGCCGCGUGUGUGAUGAAGGUCUUCGGAUUGUAAAGCACUGUUAGUUGUGAGGCGUUACCAACAGAAUAAGCACCGGCUAACUUCGUGCCAGCCGCCGCGGUAAUAC
rnacentral:rRNA from 1 species